rnacentral:rRNA from 1 species
ACGGGUGAGUAAUGUCUGGGAAACUGCCUGAUGGAGGGGGAUAACUACUGGAAACGGUAGCUAAUACCGCAUAACGUCGCAAGACCAAAGAGGGGGACCUUCGGGCCUCUUGCCAUCGGAUGUGCCCAGAUGGGAUUAGCUAGUAGGUGGGGUAACGGCUCACCUAGGCGACGAUCCCUAGCUGGUCUGAGAGGAUGACCAGCCACACUGGGACUGAGACACGGUCCAG